AAAACUUUACCAUGCGGGCAACCGUGAUAAGGAAACCCCGAGUGCCAGCACAGGCUGGCUGUCCGCCAGUGUAAAUAACUGGUGAAGAAGGGGCCGGGCAAGACCCGGUGCCAGCCGCCGCGGUAAUACCGGCGGCUCGAGUGUGUGUGCCACUAUUACUGGGCUUAAAGGGUCCGUAGCUUGAUAUGCAAGUCUCUUGAGAAAUCCGCCAGCUUAACUGGUGGGCGUUCAGGGGAAAACUGCAUUUCUAGGGACCGGGGGAGGUGAGAGGUACUGCCGGGGUAGGAGUGAAAUCCUGUAAAUCCCGGUNGGACCACCUAUNGCGAAGGCAUCUCACCAGAACGGGUCCGACAGUGAGGGACGAAAGCUGGGGGAGCAAACCGGAUUAGAUACCCGGGUAGUCCCAGCUGUAAACGAUGCGCGUUAGGUGUGUCAGUGACCACGUGUCACUGAGGUGCCGAAGGGAAACCGUGAAACGCGCCGCCUGGGGAGUACGGUCGCAAGGCUGAAACUUAAAGGAAUUGGCGGGGGAGCACCACAACGGGUGGAGCNUGCGGUUUAAUCGGACUCAACGCCGGGAAUCUCACCGGAUAAGACAGCUGAAUGAUAGUCGGGAUGAAGACUCUACUUGACUAGCUGAGAGGAGGUGCAUGGCCGUCGUCAGUUCGUACUGUGGAGCAUCCUGUUUAGUCAGGCAACGAGCGAGACCCACGCGAGCAGUUGCCAGCUUGACUUCGGGUUGAUGGGGACACUGCUCGGACCGCCUCUGCUAAAGGGGAGGAAGGAAUGGGCAACGGUAGGUCAGCAUGCCCCGAAUUAUCCGGGCUACACGCGGGCUACAAUGGAUAGGACAAUGGGUUUCUACACCGAGAGGUGAUGACAAUCUCCUAAACCUAUCCGAAGUUCGGAUUGCGGGUUGUAACUCACCCGCAUGAAGCUGGAAUCCGUAGUAAUCGCGUUUCAACAUAGCGCGGUGAAUAUGUCCCUGCUCC
rnacentral:rRNA from 1 species